GACGAACGCUGGCGGCGUGCUUAACACAUGCAAGUCGAACGGAAAGGCCCUGCUUUUGUGGGGUGCUCGAGUGGCGAACGGGUGAGUAACACGUGAGUAACCUGCCCUUGACUUUGGGAUAACUUCAGGAAACUGGGGCUAAUACCGGAUAGGAGCUCCUGCUGCAUGGUGGGGGUUGGAAAGUUUCGGCGGUUGGGGAUGGACUCGCGGCUUAUCAGCUUGUUGGUGGGGUAGUGGCUUACCAAGGCUUUGACGGGUAGCCGGCCUGAGAGGGUGACCGGCCACAUUGGGACUGAGAUACGGCCCAGACGCCUACGGGAGGCAGCAGGGGGGAAUAUUGCACAAUGGGCGGAAGCCUGAUGCAGCAACGCCGCGUGCGGGAUGACGGCCUUCGGGUUGUAAACCGCUUUCGCCUGUGACGAGGCGUGAGUGACGGUAAUGGGUAAAGAAGCACCGGCUAACUACGUG
rnacentral:rRNA from 1 species